GACGAACGCUGGCGGCGUGCCUAAUACAUGCAAGUUGAGCGCUGAAGGUUGGUACUUGUACCGACUGGAUGAGCAGCGGACGGGUGAGUAACGCGUGGGGAAUCUGCCUUUGAGCGGGGGACAACAUUUGGAAACGAAUGCUAAUACCGCAUAAAAACUUUAAACACAAGUUUUAAGUUUGAAAGAUGCAAUUGCAUCACUCAAAGAUGAUCCCGCGUUGUAUUAGCUAGUUGGUGAGGUAAAGGCUCACCAAGGCGAUGAUACAUAGCCGACCUGAGAGGGUGAUCGGCCACAUUGGGACUGAGACACGGCCCAAACUCCUACGGGAGGCAGCAGUAGGGAAUCUUCGGCAAUGGACGAAAGUCUGACCGAGUAACGCCGCGUGAGUGAAGAAGGUUUUCGGAUCGUAAAACUCUGUUGGUAGAGAAGAACGUUGGUGAGAGUGGAAAGCUCAUCAAGUGACGGUAACUACCCAGAAAGGGACGGCUAACUACGUG
rnacentral:rRNA from 1 species